GCGGGACGUCCCGCGUGGGGGCCGGGGGCCGCCGCAGCCCCUGGGGAGGGCCCCGGGGGACCAAACCCUCAACCCCGAGGGAGAGGCGCAGGACGCGUUAAGCCCGGGCGAGCAGCCGCGGGGAGCGGGGCCAGGCUCCGAGGGGCCGCGGCGCGGCUCUCCCCGCGGUGCCGGCGGCUGAAAGCGGAGGCUGAGGUGCCUUUGUGCAGCCCCUGUUGGCUGCCACCUCACGCCGCCCCGCCGGGUGAGAUGUGAUGUCCCACAGGCGCCCGCACUGCUGACUGUCCCGUUCUGGUCACUGAUAGAAAAGAGAAAGAAACUCCUUCGCUUCUGAGAAGAAACGGCUGGGCAGGAAAUCUGAAAGGUGAAAUGGUCUCCUGCUGUAAACUACAUUCACACCUGUUUUGUGUCCUCAGAAGAUCAGAGACCUGCUCUGUGGAAGGGGAAGGUGCUCUGCCCGUCACUGUUGUUCCCCCUGAGCUUUGGUUUAGAGGAGAACCACGCCAGGCUCUAAUACCACUGUGCAGCACCUCAGUGGUAAGGCCAGUCUGAGGCAUUUCAAUGUUUCCCAUCCAUGCCUGGGCACCAACUACUCCAGCGCUGCACCUCACAUCCCCUGCUUUGUAACUGCCGCUGGUGGUGGGGCCGUGUUGUGAACCAAGUCAUUCAACCGAUCUGACCUAUUUGUGCAUGUUUUCUUUCUUUCUAACCUAAGUCAGUUAAGUCAUCCAGUUCACAGAAUGACUCAUGAAGUGGUGCUCUUGCUUAAUCUAGAAGGGGAGCAUGCCCUACCACCUGAGUGCAGGAGUAAGCAACCUGAAGAGCUCAUUAAGCCACUGUAUCAUAGAACAAGGACUUCUGUGUAUGUCUGUGUUGGACACGAAAAGUGUGACCACUGCUUGGUGAAAAGAAUUCAACUGUGAAUCAAUGUAUGGUAAAAGUAACUAUUCUUUACAAAAAUAUCAAACAAAACACAUUUUAAUCAGUGCAGGCAAAUCCACACCAUCAUCCUGGUGAAUUUAACAAGGCAUGACUGAUUAUUUGUCCCCUGGUAUGGUUCACAGGUUGAUCCCAUGAGAUUGUCAUUAAGCGCAGACAAUACAAUGCAUUUUCUUUUAAUUUUACUCUAGGAGAUGGUUCCAUUAAAGCAGCUGAAAUUUACAGAAAUAUCCAGCCAGUGGCAAACAGUGGCAUGAAAAAUUUCAGCCCAAAUAGUUGACAUACACUAUUUUUAAACAGGAAAAAGUGGAAAUUUACAAGGAUAACAUCACUUACAAGAUGUUAACCCUAUAAGCAUUGCACUUAUUGCCCGACUUUAAAAAAAAAAAAAAAAAAAAAAGGCAGGAAUAUUGUUUUUAAGCUGCCAUUUUACCCUGUCCUUCAAUGAUCUGCUUUGAUUUUGACAUAGCUCAUAUAAGAGCUAUUAAAAUCUGUGAAAUUAUACAUAUUUUUAAAGUGUGCUUCUGGGAAAUCUUCAUGCCUGUCAGGUACUGAUUUUGUAAAACCUGGCAAAAAAGAGAGUAUUAAUCUCAUCACCAGCUACCAGUUUCUUCUUUAACUUUCUUUCUCAGUCAUGUGCAAGGAGCUUCUAUUUAGUCAGAAUUCCUGAACAGUCAGACCUGAACUUUUCUCACACUCUAAGGUGCUGCAGCUUGCACAGGUGCCUUUGAGAAGUGUUUUUUCUCAUAUGUUUAUUGAAGUCAUGGGUUUAAGCUAGAACUUGUAUGUUAAUGAACGUUGUGGAACGUUAUGAACAUUAACGUAUGUUAAUGAACGUAUGUUAAUGAAUGUUAUGGCAUUCUAUCAAGCUCACCUGCCAUACAGUUUAACCA